GACGACGCGAGUAUCAUUCUAUCUUUGUUUAUCGCUGGAUGUUGAAUAAAGAUAGAAUGACGCUCAUGACGUUGCGAGCGUUAAGUGGAACUUAUAAUAGAAGAUCCGACUAUGAGUACUAGCCCAUAACUUCUCGGUGUCAGAAUUCAUUGUUUACUUGUUGUGUAAUCAGGAGGUACACAGUAUGUCGAAGUUUUAAGAGUAAAAAUAAAAGCAAUACCAGCGACGUUGUUGGUCAGCUGCCACACGAAAUGUAUAUUAUUUAAUUUUCCGCUCCAGUAACGGCUGGAGAAGUUGGUCCCAAAGUAUUUAAAAUGGAGUAAGCAGUUGAAAAUAAAGCUUUGACCAAAUCUAAUACUAAUUAUCAGUUUCAAAGUUUUUGAAAAGGGUGAGAUGAGAUAUGCUACGAAAAGUGCAUUCUUAUUAUUUCAAAUAAACGAAUGCAAUAGUGAUUAACAUCAAUUAUUAUCUCAUUAUGUCCCUUUGUGAGAUGAACAAUAAGAAGAAGAUAACCAAGGACGCCGAUGAAGCGCAUGGAUUUAAGAGAGCGUUAGAACCGGACAAGAUCAUUGGCGUGGCAGAUCUCACAGGG